rnacentral:siRNA from 1 species
UUUAGGGCAUGUCGUUAA